CGCUGAAGCACCUUCGGGUGUGGAUGAGUGGCGAACGGGUGAGUAACACGUGGGCAAUCUGCCCUGCACUCUGGGAUAAGCCUUGGAAACGGGGUCUAAUACCGGAUAUGACACUCCACCGCAUGGUGGGGUGUGGAAAGUUCCGGCGGUGCAGGAUGAGCCCGCGGCCUAUCAGCUUGUUGGUGGGGUAGUGGCCUACCAAGGCGACGACGGGUAGCCGGCCUGAGAGGGUGACCGGCCACACUGGGACUGAGACACGGCCCAGACUCCUACGGGAGGCAGCAGUGGGGAAUCUUGCGCAAUGGGCGAAAGCCUGACGCAGCAACGCCGCGUGGGGGAUGACGGCCUUCGGGUUGUAAACCUCUUUCGACAUCGACGAAGCCUUCGGGUGACGGUAGGUGUAGAAGAAGCACCGGCUAACUACGUGCCAGCAGCCGCGGUAAUACGUAGGGUGCGAGCGUUGUCCGGAUUUAUUGGGCGUAAAGAGCUCGUAGGCGGUCUGUCGCGUCUAUCGUGAAAACCGGGAGCUUAACUCCUGGCUUGCGGUGGAUACGGGCAGACUUGAGUUCGGUAGGGGAGACUGGAAUUCCUGGUGUAGCGGUGAAAUGCGCAGAUAUCAGGAGGAACACCGGUGGCGAAGGCGGGUCUCUGGGCCGAUACUGACGCUGAGGAGCGAAAGCGUGGGGAGCGAACAGGAUUAGAUACCCUGGUAGUCCACGCCGUAAACGUUGGGCGCUAGGUGUGGGGAUGGGUUCCACUGUUUCCGUGCCGUAGCUAACGCAUUAAGCGCCCCGCC
rnacentral:rRNA from 1 species